AUUGAACGCUGGCGGCAGGCCUAACACAUGCAAGUCGAACGAGUGGCGGACGGGUGAGUAAUGUCUGGGAAACUGCCCGAUGGAGGGGGAUAACGACUGGAAACGGUAGCUAAUACCGCAUACCAUCGGAUGUGCCCCGAUGGGAUUAGCUAGAAGGUGGGGUAACGGCGCACCUAGGAGACGUUCCCUAGCUGGUCUGAGAGGAUGACCAGCCACACUGGAACUGAGACACGGUCCAGACUCCUCCGGUAGGCAGCAGUGGGGAAUAUUGCACAAUGGGCGCAAGCCUGAUGCAGCCAUGCCGCGUGUAUGAAGAAUGCCUUCGGGUUGUAAAGUACUUUCAGCGAGGAGGCGUUACUCGCAGAAGAAGCACCGGCUAACUCCGUGCCAGCAGCCGCGGUAAUUC
rnacentral:rRNA from 1 species